UACAGAGGGGGCAAGCGUUGUUCGGAAUUACUGGGCGUAAAGGGCGCGUAGGCGGCCCGCUAAGUCGAACGUGAAAUCCCCGAGCUCAACUCGGGAACUGCGUCCGAUACUGGUGGGCUUGAAUCCGGGAGAGGGAUGCGGAAUUCCAGGUGUAGCGGUGAAAUGCGUAGAUAUCAGGAGGAACACCGGUGGCGAAGGCGGCUAUCUGGACAGUAACCGACGCUGAGGCGCGAAAGCUAGGGGAGCAAACAGG
rnacentral:rRNA from 1 species